GUAUGGAGACAUGAGGAGGCAGAUUGGCUUCGAGAUCAGAGACAUGUGGUACAACCUGGGUCAACACAAAAUAAAAUUCAUCCCAGAAAUGGUCGGCCCAAUAUUGGAAAUGACAUUGAUUCCUGAGACGGAGCUUCGAAAAGCCACCAUCCCCAUCUUUUUUGACAUGAUGCAGUGUGAGUUCCACUCCACCCGGAGCUUCCAAAUGUUUGAAAAUGAGAUCAUCACUAAGCUGGAUCAUGAAGUGGAAGGAGGCAGAGGAGACGAGCAAUACAAAGUGUUAUUUGAUAAAAUCCUCCUGGAGCACUGCAGGAAGCAUAAAUACCUCGCCAAGACAGGGGAAACUUUUGUGAAGCUCGUGGUGCGGCUGAUGGAGAGGCUCCUGGACUACAGGACCAUCAUGCAUGACGAAAACAAAGAAAAUCGCAUGAGCUGCACAGUCAACGUGCUGAAUUUCUACAAAGAAAUUGAAAGAGAAGAGAUGUAUAUAAGGUACUUAUACAAGCUCUGUGACCUGCACAAAGAGUGUGACAACUACACAGAAGCAGCUUACACUUUGCUUCUCCACGCAAAGCUGCUGAAGUGGUCAGAGGAUGUGUGUGCAGCCCAUCUCACACAGCGGGACGGAUUUCAGGCAACAACACAAGGACAGCUGAAAGAGCAACUCUACCAAGAAAUUAUCCACUACUUUGACAAAGGCAAGAUGUGGGAGGAGGCCAUCGCCCUGGGCAAGGAACUUGCAGAGCAGUACGAAACGGAGAUGUUUGAUUAUGAGCAGCUGAGUGAAUUGCUGAAAAAGCAGGCUCAAUUUUAUGAAAACAUCGUCAAGGUGAUAAGACCCAAGCCAGACUAUUUUGCUGUUGGCUAUUACGGGCAAGGGUUCCCUUCAUUCCUUCGGGGAAAAGUGUUCAUUUACCGAGGAAAAGAAUAUGAGCGACGGGAAGAUUUUGAAGCUCGCCUAUUAACUCAGUUUCCAAAUGCUGAGAAAAUGAAGACGACAUCCCCACCCGGGGAUGAUAUUAAGAGUUCUCCUGGCCAGUACAUCCAGUGCUUCACAGUGAAGCCCAAGCUAGACUUGCCUCCUAAGUUUCACAGGCCAGUGUCUGAACAGAUUGUGAGUUUUUACAGGGUGAAUGAGGUCCAGCGAUUUGAAUAUUCUCGACCCAUCCGGAAAGGGGAGAAAAACCCAGACAAUGAAUUUGCGAAUAUGUGGAUCGAGAGAACCAUUUACACUACGGCCUAUAAGUUGCCAGGAAUUUUAAGGUGGUUUGAAGUCAAAUCCGUCUUCAUGGUAGAGAUCAGCCCACUGGAGAAUGCCAUCGAGACAAUGCAGCUGACCAAUGACAAGAUCAGCAGCAUGGUCCAGCAGCACCUGGAUGACCCGGGCCUACCCAUCAACCCUCUGUCCAUGCUCCUGAAUGGCAUUGUAGAUCCUGCCGUCAUGGGUGGCUUUGCCAAUUAUGAGAAGGCUUUCUUCACGGACCGAUACCUGCAGGAGCAUCCUGAGGCCCAUGGGCAGAUCGAGAAACUCAAGGACCUGAUAGCCUGGCAGAUUCCAUUCUUGGCUGAAGGGAUCAGGAUUCAUGGAGACAAAGUCACUGAGGCACUGAGGCCAUUCCACGAGCGCAUGGAAGCCUGCUUCAAGCAGCUGAAGGAAAAAGUGGAAAAGCAGUAUGGUGUCAGGACCAUGCCCUCAGGUCUAGAUGAUAGGAGAGGCAGCCGUCCACGCUCCAUGGUGCGGUCCUUCACCAUGCCAUCAUCCUCCCGGCCUCUGUCCGUGGCUUCCGUCUCUUCCCUCUCCUCCGACAGCACCCCUUCCAGGCCAGGCUCUGAUGGAUUUGCGCUAGAGCCUCUGCUGCCGAAGAAGAUGCACUCCAGGUCCCAGGACAAGCUGGACAAGGACGAUCCAGAUAAGGAGAAGAAGGACAAGAAGAAGGAGAAAAGGAACAGCAAACACCAAGAGAUAUUUGAUAAGGAAUUCAAGCCCGCUGACAGCUCCCUGCAGCAGUCUGAGGCUGUGAUCCUUUCUGAAACGAUAAGCCCCCUGCGGCCCCAAAGACCCAAGAGCCAGGUGAUCAAUGUCAUUGGAAGCGAAAGGCGCUUCUCUGUGUCUCCAACGUCACCGUCCUCCCAACAGACACCCCCUCCAGUUACACCAAGAGCCAAGCUCAGCUUCAGCAUUCAACCCAGUCUGGAGUUGAACGGCAUGACGGGGAUGGAUGUGGCCGAUGUCCCACCCCCUCUGCCCCUCAAAGGCAACAUGGCAGAUUAUGGAAAUCUGAUGGAAAACCAGGAUUUGAUUGGCUCACCCACAUCUCCACCUCCUCCUCCCCCACAGCGGCAACAGCCACCUCCACUGCCCAGCAAAACGCCACCUCCUCCCCCGCCGAAGACGACCCGAAAGCAGACCUCAGUGGACUCCGGGAUCGUGCAGUGAAUACACUGGGUUGAGAAAGCUACCCUCCCUUUUACAUCUACUGUGCCUGCCGAUUACCUCCUCCAGGACCUGGGAUGCCUCACCUUAGUGUGAUGGCUUUUCCCAGAAAGGAGUCCUUCCUAGCCAUGGGACCAGAGACCCUAAGUAUCUCAGAGCACAGUGGGACUGGGGCCCAGUCAUACAUACUCUGGAUUUUAUUUUGAAGUUGGAGCCUCUGAGAGUGUCAGCUUUUCAGAUGGCCUCAGUCUUGCCCUGACAUCCUCUCCUUUGUGCCAAAUGACUUGUAUUCAUUUGCAGAGAGCUUAGCUGAUGUGGCUUAGCCAAGUGGGAGGAAUGAGGCCAGCCCUCCUCUCCCACCCCUACUCCCACCAUGAGAAGCUAUGCAGUAAACUUACAAGGAUCCUCCUCAUGCUGCCUCUGAAGCCCAGACUCUAGCUCACCCCCAAGGGCUGACUGCUCAACCCUUCCUUGCUGCAUCUGUGGUGAAACUGGUGUGGUGAGUUUCACUUCAGCUGACAUCAAGCAACAAGUGUACCCCUUCUGAGAAGAUCUUGGUUUCCCUUGGCAUAAUUUAAAGUAGGGACAUCUCUCGGUUACUAAAGAGAUACUAAUAUAUGGAGUAGAGACACCAUUAAGAAUACUGGAUCAAAUGGAAAGCAUAGGAAGGUGAAUUUUCAUUCAUUUUUUAAGUAUGGCCCAGAGGUGGUUUUAAUUGGGUGACUUCUCUGUGUUCUCAUUGUGUACAGAAGUUUGUAUAUACGGUGGUUCUCAGAGCUCCUGUGAGUGUCUGUGACCCUUGUUUACUCCAGUGGGCCUCUGAAAAUGAGCUCCUGUGUGUCUUCUUCAUGUUUAACUGCUGGAAAUACUUGUUUUUUAAAUCCCACACAUUAAAUUGUUUUUCAGAUUCCCAAGGUCCUGAAAAUGUUGGUGGACAAUGAUUAAAAAAAAAAAAACAAAACUAACUUUGUAUAACCUAAUAUUUUUAUUUGAUCAUCUAUAUUUUUUUAUUCACUAUGAUCAUGAUACUGUUUGUUCUAGGAGAAUUCAAAGUUAAUCACUGACAAAUGAAAAAUAAAUGUUAUUUAAAAAGGA